AGAGGAGGAAGAAGGAAUAAGGGGAGACAUAAAGAAGGAAAGACGAAAGUGCACUCAGGUAGUGAUUAACCAACCAAUGGGCGCAGCAAUGAAAUGUCUGUCAUUCAAAGUGCCCUUUCCCCCUAGCGCUCAUGUUACACAGGCUGAAACACAGUUUGUUUGUUCGCCUCGGAGUAGGCUCUGCUUUUUCCCUUCCUGUCUGCGAGCCGGCGGGGAUAGGGGCUAGGGCAGCUAUGGCAUGACAAGGCGGUCAGUCCGUGGCACCCGUCCCACAUUUCCAUUGGCGCCUCAUGAGAGAGCCUGAAAAAGUAUGACUUUUCCAGAGUCGGAGGGUGACCUGCCUGCCGUGGUCGUGCAGCACCGGGCCGGAGCAGACUGGGCCUUCCUCGCUUCAUUAAUUCAAUUCAGCCUCGCAGAAAAACAGCCACUUCUCUCUCAUAGAGCGCCCUUGUCUACGGAGGCUAACCUACUGCUCAGAUAGAGCAACGUCAUCGCAUGCUGCCUGGUAGCCCGCUACACUGUGUCAACCAAACGCUAACGCUAGUAGAGUUUUAUCUUCAGCAGUGUUGUAAAGUGGUCACAGGUUUGCUAGAUGGGAGGUCAUUUUAAGACCUCGCCACACUGUGUUUAUGCUUUCUUUAGAUUUUAUUAUAUUUAUUUUAACUUGACACCUCACUGGCCCGUGGUUCUAAAUGAGAUUAGAUUUGUAAAAUAAUUAUAUAGGAUGUAUAACUAUAAGUCAUUUAUUGAUAGUUAGUAAUUAAUAUAUAUGCAAUAAACAGUUAUAAAGCACA